UACGUAGGGUGCAAGCGUUGUCCGGAAUUAUUGGCGUAAAGAGCUCGUAGGCGGUCUGUCGCGUCGAUCGUGAAAACUUGGGGCUUAACCCUGAGCUUGCGGUCGAUACGGCAUGACUGGAGUUCGGCAGGGAGACUGGAAUUCCUGGUGUAGCGGUGAAAUGCGCAGAUAUCAGGAGGAACACCGGUGGCGAAGGCGGCUUACUGGACUGUAAAUGACGCUGAGGCUCGAAAGCGUGAGGAGCAACAGG
rnacentral:rRNA from 1 species